rnacentral:rRNA from 1 species
UACGUAGGGGGCUAGCGUUGUUCGGAAUUACUGGGCGUAAAGCGCGCGUAGGCGGAUCUGCAAGUCGGGGGUGAAAUCCCGAGGCUCAACCUCGGAACUGCCUUCGAUACUGCGGGUCUCGAGUCCGGGAGAGGUGAGUGGAAUUCCUAGUGUAGAGGUGAAAUUCGUAGAUAUUAGGAAGAACACCAGUGGCGAAGGCGGCUCACUGGCCCGGUACUGACGCUGAGGCGCGAAAGCGUGGGGAGCAAACAGG